AAAAGACAAGAUUAAGAAAGAGAAGCAGACACAGAAAGUCACGGAGAUCUGGCAGUAAGGAGAGUGAGGGAAACCCAGGACAGGUUGGGAGACUGAAGGAAUGACACAGAAAAAGGGAGCGAGAUAGUUUCUCUUUGAGUCAUUCUGGACAUCUCUGCUCAUCUUCCACCAUUAGAGCAACCAGAGUCCUGAAGUCAGACCCGGUGCUGCCUCAACAUUCAUCCUCUUGGGUUAGCGAGGGCUGUGACCAGGAGAUCUCCAAGCACACCAGGACUUAAGGAAGAUGGAGCCCUGCUAGUGGGGCCCAGAGAAGGGGAUAUCUGGAUCCUGGCUGUAUGACCUCGGGUUUUGGCCAGGGCUGGGUUUGAAUCUGUCACCUCCGGGAUAUGGGGCUGGCACCUUACUCCUUUGAGCCAUAGGCGCUGCCUUACACCAUGGAAUAUUAAGCAGCCUUUAAAAAGAUGGAGAUUU